ACGUGGGUAACCUGCCCAAAAGUGGGGGAUAACAUCUGGAAACAGGUGCUAAUACCGCAUAACAACAGUCUUCACAUGAUCACUGUUUGAAAGAUGGCUCUGCUAUCGCUUUUUGGAUGGACCCGCGGCGUAUUAGCUAGUUGGUGAGGUAAAGGCUCACCAAGGCGAUGAUACGUAGCCGACCUGAGAGGGUAAUCGGCCACAUUGGGACUGAGACACGGCCCAAACUCCUACGGGAGGCAGCAGUAGGGAAUCUUCCACAAUGGGCGAAAGCCUGAUGGAGCAAUGCCGCGUGAGUGA
rnacentral:rRNA from 1 species